rnacentral:rRNA from 1 species
UGCAGUCGAGCGCUCUCUUCGGAGGGAGCGGCGGACGGGUUAGUAACGCGUGGGAACGUACCCAGAUCUAAGGAAUAGCCACUGGAAACGGUGAGUAAUACCUUAUACGCCCUUCGGGGGAAAGAUUUAUCGGAUUUGGAUCGGCCCGCGUUAGAUUAGAUAGUUGGUGGGGUAACGGCCUACCAAGUCUACGAUCUAUAGCUGGUUUUAGAGGAUGAUCAGCAACACUGGGACUGAGACACGGCCCAGACUCCUACGGGAGGCAGCAGUGGGGAAUCUUGGACAAUGGGCGCAAGCCUGAUCCAGCCAUGCCGCGUGAGUGAUGAAGGCCUUAGGGUCGUAAAGCUCUUUCGCCUGUGAAGAUAAUGACGGUAGCAGGUAAAGAAACCCCGGCUAACUCCGUGCCAGCAGCCGCGGUAAUACGGAGGGGGUUAGCGUUGUUCGGAAUUACUGGGCGUAAAGCGCACGUAGGCGGAUUGGAAAGUAUGGGGUGAAAUCCCCGGG